rnacentral:rRNA from 1 species
UACGUAGGGUGCAAGCGUUGUCCGGAAUUAUUGGGCGUAAAGAGCGUGUAGGCGGCCCGAUUAGUCCGCUGUGAAAGUCCAGGGCUCAACCCUGGAAUGCCGGUGGAUACUGUCGGGCUAGAGUCCGGAAGGGGCGAGUGGAAUUCCUGGUGUAGCGGUGAAAUGCGCAGAUAUCAGGAAGAACACCCGUGGCGAAGGCGGCUCUCUGGGACGGUACUGACGCUGAGGUGCGAAAGCGUGGGGAGCAAACAGG